ACCUACGGGGGGCAGCAGUGAGGAAUAUUGGUCAAUGGGCGGGAGCCUGAACCAGCCAGGCCGCGUGAGGGAAGAAGGUACAGCGUAUCGUAAACCUCUUUUGUCAGGGAACAAAGGCGGGGACUAGUCCCCGGAUGAGGGUACCUGAAGAAAAAGCAUCGGCUAACUCCGUGCCAGCAGCCGCGGUAAUACGGAGGAUGCGAGCGUUAUCCGGAUUUAUUGGGUUUAAAGGGUGCGCAGGCGGCCUGUUAAGUCAGCGGUAAAAGCCCGGUGCUCAACCCCUGCGAGCCGUUGAAACUGGCGGG
rnacentral:rRNA from 1 species